CCUACGGGUGGCAGCAGUGAGGAAUAUUGGUCAAUGGACGAGAGUCUGAACCAGCCAAGUAGCGUGAAGGAUGACUGCCCUAUGGGUUGUAAACUUCUUUUAUAUGGGAAUAAAAUGUUCCACGUGUGGGAUUUUGUAUGUACCAUAUUAAUAAGGAUCGGCUAACUCCGUGCCAGCAGCCGCGGUAAUACGGAGGAGCCGAGCGUUAUCCGGAUAGAUUGGGUUUAAAGGGCGCGUAGGUGGAUUGUGAAGUUAGUUGUGAAAGUUUGCGGCUCAACCGUAAAAUUGCAGUUGAAACUGGCAGUCGUGAGUACAGUAGAGGUGGGCGGAAUUCGUGGUGUAGCGGUGAAAUGCUUAGAUAUCACGAAGAACUCCGAUUGCGAAGGCAGGUCACUGGACUGCAACUGACACUGAGGCACGAAAGUGUGGGUAUCAAACAGGAUUAGAUACCCGAGUAGUC
rnacentral:rRNA from 1 species